GGCGGAUCCUUUCCCAGCACAACUGCAGGCUAAUCACGCUAUUUGGGGUGGGUAUCCAGUAAACAUGCACAUGCAGACACGCAGACACAAGCGCACACACAAUGGCAGGGGCAGAGACGCUCACAUACACACACGUACACACAAACAGAGACGGUCUGACCAACUCUGUACAAGCCGAGUCUCUUUGUGUCACACGAACGACUAGACCUUCUGGAGACCCAAACUUGAUCCAGCUCCUUGAUGCUAUGGUUUACAUGGGUUGAAGUGGAAGAUCUUGCAUGUUCUGACAUAAAACUCUAACUGGGAUGAACUAGAAUGUUGACUGCAGGGCCUCCUGACCCUACAUCAGUACCUCCUGACCCUACAUCAGUACCUGAGUUUAUGCACACCCUUGUGGCUGAAG